rnacentral:rRNA from 1 species
GAUGAACGCUAGCGGCAGGCCUAACACAUGCAAGUCGAGGGGUAGAGGAAGCUUGCUUCCUUGAGACCGGCGCACGGGUGCGUAACGCGUAUGCAAUCUACCUUUUACAGAGGGAUAGCCCAGAGAAAUUUGGAUUAAUACCUCAUAGUAUUUUCGAAUGGCAUCAUUUGAUUAUUAAAGUUCCAACGGUAAAAGAUGAGCAUGCGUCCUAUUAGCUAGAUGGUAAGGUAACGGCUUACCAUGGCAACGAUAGGUAGGGGUCCUGAGAGGGAGAUCCCCCACACUGGUACUGAGACACGGACCAGACUCCUACGGGAGGCAGCAGUGAGGAAUAUUGGACAAUGGGCGCAAGCCUGAUCCAGCCAUGCCGCGUGCAGGAAGACGCAUCUAUGGUGUGUAAACUGCCUUUGUACGGGAAGAAACACUCCCUCGUGAGGGAGCUUGACGGUACCGUAAGAAUAAGGAUCGGCUAACUCCGUGCCAGCCGCCGCAGUAACAC